rnacentral:rRNA from 1 species
UACGUAGGGGGCAAGCGUUGUCCGGAAUCAUUGGGCGUAAAGAGCGUGUAGGCGGCCCGGUAAGUCCGCUGUGAAAGUCCAGGGCUCAACCCUGGGAUGCCGGUGGAUACUGUCGGGCUCGAGUCCGGAAGAGGAGUGUGGAAUUCCUGGUGUAGCGGUGAAAUUCGUAGAUAUUCGGAAGAACACCAGUGGCGAAGGCGGCUCACUGGCCCGGUACUGACGCUGAGAUGCGAAAGCGUGGGGAGCAAACAGG